ensembl:lncRNA
AGAGACUCCAGUCAGAAUCCAGCUGAGCCUGUGAGAGAUACAGCCCAGGGUGCUGAAUUUUCUCCUUCAGAUCCUGAGACAGAUGACAGUCGUAGUGAGCUCCAGCUGCUGCAGUGUGAGUUGGCGGAGGUGAAACACGUCUGUCAGAAGCUCCGUGAUCAGAAUGCAGUGCUGAUGAGGGCUGUUGCCCAUGGCGAUGACCUCAACCUACAGCUCACCAUGGAGAUGACCGAGUUACGCACCAAACUGGCCAGUGCCCAGCUGGCGGCAGUGAGAGCGCAGUCCUUGGCUGAGGAGCUGGAUGAGGUGCGUCAGGCUCUGAGGGAGAGUCAGGACCAGGAGAGAGUCACCCAUGCCGCCAUCAGCUCUCUGGUAAAAGAAAAUGAAAACUUGAAAGCCCAGCUGAAUGCCAUUGAAGAAAAGAAUGAGAGGUGGAGUCUGGAGAGGAGUAUGGCUGAGGAGCAGCUGAACAAACUGAGGAAGGCCAACGCACACAUUAAGG